rnacentral:rRNA from 1 species
GUAGGGAAUCAUCCGCAAUGGACGAAAGUCUGACGGUGCAACGCCGCGUGAGUGAAGAAGGGUUUCGGCUCGUAAAACUCUGUUGUUAAGGAAGAAUGUCGGUGAGAGUCACUGCUCACCGAGUGACGGUACUUAACCAGAAAGCCACGGCUAACUACGUGCCAGCAGCCGCGGUAAUACGUAGGUGGCAAGCGUUAUCCGGAAUUAUUGGGCGUAAAGCGCGCGUAGGCGGUUUCUUAAGUCUGAUGUGAAAGCCCCCGGCUCAACCGGGGAGGGUCAUUGAAAACUGGGGAACUUGAGUGCAGAAGAGGAGAGUGGAAUUCCAUGUGUAGCGGUGAAAUGCGCAGAGAUAUGGAGGAACACCAGUGGCGAAGGCGGCUCUCUGGUCUGUAACUGACGCUGAUGUGCGAAAGCGUGGGGAUCAA